rnacentral:tRNA from 1 species
GGAGGAAUGGCCGAGUGGUCGAUGGCGGUAGUCUUGAAAACUAUUGUACAGCACUGUACCGGGGGUGCGAAUCCCUCUUCCUCCG